UGGCGACCGGCGCACGGGUGAGUAACACGUAUCCAACCUGCCGAUAACUCGGGGAUAGCCUUUCGAAAGAAAGAUUAAUACCCGAUGGUAUAAUCAGACCGCAUGGUCUUGUUAUUAAAGAAUUUCGGUUAUCGAUGGGGAUGCGUUCCAUUAGGCAGUUGGUGAGGUAACGGCCCACCUAGUCUUCGAUGGAUAGGGGUUCUGAGAGGAAGGUCCCCCACAUUGGAACUGAGACACGGUCCAA
rnacentral:rRNA from 1 species